UGACCGGGCAACCUCCAUCCACUGAUAAGGACUGUGUUAAAGCAACAAAAAAAGCUAGUUGAUAUUACAGACCGUUUCCAUCCCUCUACCUACCCUCAGAGCUGAUUUCACGGGAGCGAACGAGGUCGCUCUUGUUGCCCACCAGGAUGAUUGGUGUGUGUGGCUGGGACUCCCUGAGAAGGAGGCGGAGCUGGGCCGUGCGAUGGAAACUUCGCCUGUCAGUCACUGAGAAGACCAGGAUACACACAUCACACUGCAGAGUGGAAAGAAACUGACUGAGGAGUGAAGAGCAGAAGUAGUGGAAAAGGGCUAAAAGGGAAAGCUGUAACGUGACAGAUGAGGAGAGACAACCCAGAACAGAAGUGAUGGGAAGUACAGAGACAUAAAAUGAGCAACACAAG